CACGUACCCAUCCCGAACACGACCGUUAAGCCCUCCAGCGCCGAUGGUACUUGGACCGAAGGGUCCUGGGAGAGUAGGACGCCGCCAAGC
rnacentral:rRNA from 1 species